GAUGAACGCUGGCGGCGUGCCUAAUACAUGCAAGUCGAGCGAACAGACGAGGAGCUUGCUCCUCUGACGUUAGCGGCGGACGGGUGAGUAACACGUGGAUAACCUACCUAUAAGACUGGGAUAACUUCGGGAAUCCGGAGCUAAUACCGGAUAAUAUAUUGAACCGCAUGGUUCAAUAGUGAAAGACGGUUUUGCUGUCACUUAUAGAUGGAUCCGCGCCGCAUUAGCUAGUUGGUAAGGUAACGGCUUACCAAGGCAACGAUGCGUAGCCGACCUGAGAGGGUGAUCGGCCACACUGGAACUGAGACACGGUCCAGACUCCUACGGGAGGCAGCAGUAGGGAAUCUUCCGCAAUGGGCGAAAGCCUGACGGAGUAACGCCGCGUGAGUGAUGAAGGUCUUCGGAUCGUAAAACUCUGUUAUUAGGGAAGAACAAAUGUGUAAGUAACUAUGCACGUCUUGACGGUACCUAAUCAGAAAGCCACGGCUAACUACGUG
rnacentral:rRNA from 1 species